rnacentral:rRNA from 1 species
CCCUUAGAUGUUCUGGGCUGCACGCGCGCUACACUGAUGCAUUCAACGAGUUUUACCUUGGCCGAGAGGCCUGGGCAAUCUUUUAAACCUGCAUCGUGAUAGGGAUAGAUUAUUGCAAUUUUUAAUCUUGAACGAGGAAUUCCUAGUAAACGCAAAUCAUCAAUUUGCAUUGAUUACGUCCCUGCCCUUUGUACACACCGCCCGUCGCACCUACCGAUUGAAUGGUCCGGUGAAGCCUCGGGAUUGUGGCCAGUUCACUUUAUUGGGAGUUGGCUGUGAGAACUUGUCUAAACCUUAUCAUUUAGAGGAAGGUGAAGUCGUAACA